rnacentral:rRNA from 1 species
UACGGGGGGGGCAAGCGUUGUUCGGAAUUAUUGGGCGUAAAGAGCUCGUAGGCGGUCUGUCGCGUCGGCUGUGAAAUCCCGAGGCUCAACCUCGGGUCUGCAGUCGAUACGGGCAAACUGGAGUGUUGCAGGGGAGACUGGAAUUCCUGGUGUAGCGGUGAAAUGCGCAGAUAUCAGGAGGAACACCGGUGGCGAAGGCGG